AUUGAACGCUGGCGGCAGGCCUAACACAUGCAAGUCGAACGAGUGGCGGACGGGUGAGUAAUGUCUGGGAAACUGCCUGAUGGAGGGGGAUAACUACUGGAAACGGUAGCUAAUACCGCAUACCUUCAGUUGUGCCCAGAUGGGAGUAGCUAGUAGGUUGGGUAAUGGCUCACCUAGGCGACGAUCCCUAGCUGGUCUGAGAGGAUGCCCAGCAACACGGGAACUGAGACACGGUCCAGACUCCUCCGGGCGGCAGCAGUGGGGAAUAUUGCACAAUGGGCGCAAGCCUGAUGCAGCCAUGCCGCGUGUGUAAAGAAGGCCUGCGGGUUGGAAAGCACUUUCAGCGAGGAGGCGUUACUCGCAGAAGAAGCACCGGCUAACUCCGUGCCAGCAGCCGCGGUAAUAC
rnacentral:rRNA from 1 species